rnacentral:ribozyme from 11 species
AAUUUAAAAAUUCGAAAAAGAGUAAGAAUAUUUUUGAUUUGUCGUCACGUUGUUUUUUUCGUUUUUUUCUUCUUCCGGAUGCAACGGACACGACACGACGACCAACGAUGAUGAUGGUGUGGAAUGUUUGUUGUUUUGAAUGUUGAGAAGGAAAAGGAGAGAAAGAGAGGCGCUGCUAUGAUUCUUGGAAUGAACGUUUGUCAAGAGUGAAAAUCAAUGGUCAUUAUAUUCGGAUUAUUCAAUAUCGAAGCGCAUUCAUUGCCCUCUCGUGUUUUUGCCUGUACUCAACUUUUGAUGAAAGACGAGAAAGUGUGAGUGCCAUAAAUAUAUUUUGGUUGAUCUAGAGAGCAAGC